UCCGAGUUGUCCCCGGCAGUCUCUUAUGAGUUCCCGGCUUUACCCGCUGGCAACUAAGGACAAGGGUUGCGCUCGUUGCGCCACUUAAGGCAACACCUCACGGCACGAGCUGACGACAGCCAUGCACCACCUGUGCAGGCUCCGUAUAGCGCCGGCUUUCACCGGCUUUGCCCUGCAUGUCAAGCCCAGGUAAGGUUCUUCGCGUCGCAUCGAAUUAAGCCGCAUGCUCCGCCGCUUGUGCGGGCCCCCGUCAAUUCCUCUGAGUUUUAGCCUUGCGGCCGUACUCCCCAGGCGGGGCGCUUAAUGCGUUAGCUGCGGCACGGAACUCGUGGAAUGAGCCCCACACCUAGCGCCCAACGUUUACGGUGUGGACUAC
rnacentral:misc_RNA from 1 species